UAGAGUUUGAUCCUAGCUCAGGAUGAACGCUGGCGGCGUGGAUAAGGCAUGCAAGUCGAGCGAGCCGUGCAGAGCACGGAAAUCCGAAAUUCUAAACACUAAACUCUAAACAAGUUCAAAAUUCCAAUAUUUCAAACUCUAAGCGAGACCCGUUUUGAGUCUGUGGUUUGGUUUUUGUAUUUUGUUUAGGAUUUAGAUAUUAGAGUUUAGAGUUUCCGCGCUCUGCGCGGUUAGCGGCAGACGAGGUAGUAAUAAGCAGGUAACGUACCAUAGAGUCAGGCAUAGCUCAUCGAAAGGUGAGGUAAUUCCUGAUAGCACCUUGUGCGAAGCACAGAGGAACAAAGCACAAAACACAGACAUACACAAAAAACCAAACAAAACACAAAAAAUUCAAACCACACAAACACUUCUUCGUUUGUGCUUUGAGAGCAUGUGCUUUGUUUGGACUUUGUGCACUGUGCUUUGGAGGAGUUUGUUUUUCCGCGUUUCGCGCGAGGUUAAAGUCGCAAGACGCUCUUUGAACGGCCUGCUCGGUAUCAGCUAGUUGGCAGGGUAAAAGCCUACCAAGGCUAUGACGCCUAGGGGACCUGAGAGGGUGACCCCCACCGAUGGAACUGAGAAACGGUCCAUACACCUACGGGUGGCUGCAGCCGAGAAUAUUCGACAAUGGGCGAAAGCCUGAUCGAGCGACGCCGCGUGGAGGAUGAAGUGCUUCGGCAUGUAAACUCCUUUUGUAGACUAGAAAGUUUAUUGAUCAGUCUAAGAAUAAGAGGUUACUAAACUCGUGAACCGUUCGGAUUAAGCUCCGAACAUUCCAAAUUAGUAUUAAAAACUCGUGCCCCGUACACAGCUCUGCUGUUGUACUGGGGUGUAUAUCGUGCGCGACUUUCUGCCGUAAGGCAGAUCGAAAAUUCGGCUUAUAUGCUGGGACGCUAUUGAGAACUGCGCUCUGAUAUUCCAUCGGAGUCCUCGAUAGUCAAUCAGCAGGGAAGUCGGCUAUACUUAAGGCACAUGGCCUUAUCGCAAACACAAGAGCAGAUUGUAACGGGCUUGUUGCUCGGAGAUGGGUAUCUUGAAUUCGAUAAAUUCAAGGCAAGCCGUCUUCAGAUAAAACAAGCGGAGUGUAAAAAGGAGUAUGUGUUCUGGCUUUACACGCAUUUCGCGGAUAAAGUACGAACUCCUCCAAAGCAAAGAGGAGACACCAUGCAGUGGUAUUUCAGCACCCGUUCCUUACGGGAACUUGAAGAGUGGCGCAGCAAUUUUUACCCCAAUGGUAAGAAAAUUGUGCCAAGAAAUAUCACUGAACUGUUGGUUGACCCCAUUACUUUGGCAGUGUGGUUUAUGGAUGACGGCGUGUUAGAUUACCGAAUCCGAUCCCAUUACUCGUUUACGCUAAGUACCGAUGCGUUCAGUAUCGCGGAGGUGCAAUUGUUACAGCAUACUUUACUCAAGAAUUUCGGCAUUGAGUCUUCGAUUCAAACACCGAGUUCAAGGGGUACAAAGUAUACGAAAUUAUAUAUCGGCAAAAAUGGCAGGGAAAAGUUCCUCGAAGCCGUUAAGCCCUAUAUGCUCAAAUGUUUUGCGUAUAAGAUUCCGCCUCACUAUAGCUUGACCCCUCAGAGACUGAACUCAAUGCAAUUGCAGCGAGUGAGAUAGAAUCCACAAAAUUCUAUAAAACGCCGACCCCUAACUAUGUUAGGGUGAUGAUAUAGUCCAAUUCUUACAGCAAUGUAAGUUAAAGUGGCCAGCAGUAGCGGUAAUACGAGUGCCUCAAGCGUUAUCCGGAAUUACUGGGCGUAAAGGGUGUGUAGGCGGCUGUGUUAGUCUUCUGUCAAAUUCUUCGGCUUAACCGGAGGCUCGCAGAAGAAACGGCACGGCUUUGAGGGUGCAAGAGGUUUGCGGAACUCAUGGUGUAGGGGUGAAAUCCGUUGAUAUCAUGGGGAACACCGAAAGCGAAGGCAGCAAGCUGGUGCACUCCUGACGCUGAAACACGAAAGCGUGGGUAGCGAAUGGGAUUGACGUUCACAUUCUCUUUUCACAAACGUGCUUCGGUACUUAAGAAAAUUAUAGUCGGCUCACGACGGAAAUUUCAUAACUCGCUCCGAUAAGAAUCAGAGCUCAAACAGAUGAAAUUUCCUGUUCGCCUCCUUAAUUUUCAAAUUACCUCCCGCAAUGUUUGCUCAAAGAGAAUGUUCACUAAGCUGGUAAGAAAGCAUAGUGGUGCGUAGGGGUACGUAGAACACUGGUCCCUUUGGUAUUACUUGCACUGAAAGAAGCAUAGUUCUUUGGGGAAGAGAGAUGGCCAGCACGGGGAAGUGGAGCCGUGAAGGGAAAUUCUCUCAUGCGGGCGGCUUUUGCCCGCGUGUUAUAAGUCGACAUCCCUCUGAUGUGAUAAUUCGGUUUGAAAUCCCGAUGAGAUUAGAACACCUCGCGCCACUCAGGUGGUUGACGGGUGUAUAUAAGAAUCAGUCGGUUGUUCCGAAACAACACAUCUCUUUUCCCCCUUCCAAUUCUGCCAAGCAAGUCUUGGCGCUUCUUUCAGUGCCGGUAACCAAAUAAAAUUUGGCUAUAUGCUGGAAUAUCCGAGUAUCCGAGAGUACCGCAAGGUAACAAUCUCUCGGUGCGGCCGCCGUCGCUAAAAGCUAUGGCGAGCCAACGGACAAUCAGCAGGGAAGACUUAGAAAAUGCAAAAUGUAAAUCUCAAAAUGAAAAAUUGUCGUGUCUAGCUCCGUUGGACUCCAUAAUUUUAAUCUCUGACUUUUCCAUUUUUAAUUUCUUUGAACCCUCAGAGACUAUACGCCAAACUAGUCACGAAGCGUGUAGCGCGAAGCGUAUAGCGUAAAAAGAGAAAUCUUCUUGCGUUAUAUGUUACAAGUUAUACGGUUUGCGAUUGGAAGAUAUAGUCCGAACUGCAUGGCGACAUGCAGAGACAAGUAGAAAUAUCUUGUCCGCAAGUUUGUAAUUUUAAGAUUUCAUCUCCGAUUUAUUUGAAAAUUGGGAAUUGAUAAUUGAAAAUUACAAUUUUGUAGCAACAAAAUUGUAGAUACCCCAGUAGUCCACGCCCUAAACGAUGUUCAUUGGCUUUUCAGAGUAUCGACCCUCCGAGAGGCGAAGCUAACGCGAUAAAUGAACCGCCUGGGUAGUACGACCGCAAGGUUAAAACUCAAAGGAAUAGACGGGGACUUGCACAAGCGGUGGAUUGUGUGGUUCAAUUCGAUGGUAAGCGAAGAACCUUACCAGGGUUAGAAAUCUAGGUGAAGCGGAGCAGAAACGUUCCGCGUCUCACAAGGACUCCUAGACAGGUGCUGCAUGGUCGUCGUCAGUUCGUGGUUUGAACUCAAUUCGGACCCUUCUCGAGAAAUCGAGAUGAAAAAAUCAGCUCAUAACGGGGGAACCCAAGACUGAUAAUGUUAUAAUUAUCAGUAUGGGCAAUCCCGUGGGAAGUUUGGAAAUGCCAAUGAUGCUUCGCGCACGAAAGCGAUUAGUGCUUUCGGUGACGCCUCGGCAAAGAGAGAUUCUCGUCGGUUGUAUUCUGGGCGAUGCAUAUAUUGCAACGCUCGGAAAAAUCCGCAUCGAACACUCGAUUAAACAACGAGCGUAUGUGGAGUGGAAACGCAAAGAACUACAAUCUCUUUGUUAUCCCGGAGAACCGCGCGAGAUUACUCACAUGUAUCGCGGGAAGCGAUACCAGUCGGUAUUUUUUCUGUUACGUCAGUACUUCAGAGUCUGGCGGGAUAUAUUCUAUCCGGAGAAGAAAAAAAUCUUUCCAAAAGAUUUACUGCUUACUCCGCUAGCCCUCGCCAUAUGGUACAUGGACGACGGAUGCUGGACAGGAAAGAAAAUACUGAUUUCAACCGAGAGUUUUCGCGGAGAAUCUAUGAGCCGUCUUCAGGAUGUGCUCUAUCGUCAGCUUCAUAUCGAAACAAUCGCAAGCAGUAAUGGGAAAUUGGUUAUACGAAAGAAAUCGCAUGAAAUCUUUUGUAAUUUAGUUUCCCCGUACAUUAUUGCAAGCAUGAGAUAUAAGCUUCCAAACCCUGUAACGACUUGAUCCUGUACGGAUCGGAGCUAUCCCCCAUGGCGGAUAGCUAACACGCUGAUCCCCUCAUCUGCCUUUUGGCGGAAAGGGUGAAGGUAUAGUCUGGCUUCUUAAGUAAUUUAGAAGGUUAAAGGAAUUGUUCCCUUAAGUGGGGUAACGAACGCAACCCUCGUUGCCUGUUAUAUUUGUCAGGCGAGACUGCCCCGCACUUUGCGCGGAAGCCGCAAAGUUAUGAAGUAUGAAGUAAGAAUUCUGAAUUAUGGUUUUCCUUAAUUCCUAAUUCAAGAUUCAUAAUUCUGACUUUGUUCGCUUACGAACAAAGUGCGGGGAGGAAGGCGAGGAUGACGCCAGAUCAGCAUGGCCCUCUGAUACCCUGGGCAACACACGCAAUACAAUGGCUACUACAACACGUCGCGACGGGGUAACCCUGAGCUAAUCGUUAUAAAAGUAGCCCCAGUUCAGAUUGAGGUCUGCAACUCGACCUCAUGAAGUUGGAAUCGCUAGUAAUCGCGGGUCAGCAAACCGCGGUGAAUACGUUCUCAAGUCUUGUACUCGGGUCGCCAUGCGAUCGAGUACGCAAGUUGGUGCUCUAGCACUAAUUUUUGGACUUAAAAAAUCUUGCACCUUAGGAGGUGCAAGAUGGAUGAGCUAGAGGUUGUUAGUCACUGCAUGUGACAAUAACUUCCUCCGGCUUUGCGGCAGGAAAUGAACGCUGACUGAUUUCUUGGAGUUCGGCUAGGGUCUUCUCCGGGCCGUUCAAAGUCACAAUCAUCGUAUUUCCUGUUUGGUCUGUAUACUUGAUUUUUAAGUUCAUACAUUAAGAUUGUACCUUGAUGAAUGAAUUUGUCAAGUCCAAAAAUUAGUGCUGGAAAAUCCAGCCAGGGCAAUUCACAGUGCCUUGAAGCGAAAUACUAGUCUACUGGCCGCGAGGUCUAUAGAUGAAGGAGUAAAGUAGCAUUUCUUAGCUUGAAUGCCAGUUAUGGCGCAUACCAGAGGUCAUCCUGCGGGUACAUGGAGAAACCUACUGUGUUACAAAAACUGUUAUGCGUAUCGUGGCAUCGAGAUGGGAAGAAACAGUGUAUUCGGUUACCGUGGGAGAUCUCACCUGUUCUUUGUUUUCUAGAAAGAAGCAAAGUAAGCAAUAUAUUAGGACGGGCAAAAAUUUCCUAAAGUAUUGGAUAAAAAUGAGUGAGAAGUCUGCAGAGUCCGUAGUAUCCAACACCACUUUUGGCUGGGAUUAAGGUUCGACCUUUUUCCCGAUCCAAGGUCGAACCUUGGGACCAAAAAGUGGUGUUGGAGAAGGGACAAACUACUCUAGCUUCUAGAACCUAGGUUCUAGCGUCUAGGGUGGAACCGCUAGGGUGCGGGAAAACCGCUUGCCCAGUGGUGUUUGGCUGUUGGAUAAGUAAUUAUCAAUUGACCAAAAAACCGCCCGUCAAGUCAGGGGAGCCGGGGGUACCCGAAGUGCCGCCUUGCGCGGCCCUAAGGUAAAUUCGGUGACAAAGACUAAGUCGUUAGAAAGUU
rnacentral:rRNA from 1 species